AUGUGUUUUUAAUGAUUACCAUUCAAAACCGGUUACUGAAGGAGCUCCGAUCCUGUUGUAAGGGCCUGCUUUAGCUAAUGUCUUGUUGGUAUAUUAAUAUACUUGUUGCGAUUUAAUCUCCUUUUGGGUCAUUUCAGUUCUGCACAUGGAAGAAGAAGGUCGUUUGCAAAUAAAUGCCAGGGUUGUUUUUGCUUCUAAUCGAAGGAAUCCUCGAUUGUUUAUACUUGCUGAUGUUUAAUAUAUCAUGAUAAAUGGACGUAAUUAAUCUAUGCGCAUUUAGAUAUUGUGAUGGAAUACCUGUAUAGUAUUUUUAGAUUUUUGUUAAUUGAAUUAUCAGUUAUGCAGUUUAUUUAUAUAGCAGGGAGGUAGGCAGAUAUAAAUUUGCUUACUUUUGAUAUAGUUUGUAUUUAUUGUACAGAUAUAUCUGUGUAAUUACCGAAUGACUUAAUCAUUAAAUUGAUUAAUAGCUUUUCUGUUAUACUUUGCAGUUAUCAUAAUGACUAUUUGUUGUGUGAUCUGCUACAGUUUAAUCCUGGAGUAUUGAGGUGCUUAUUUGUGAAUUACUGGAAGGUAUACAUUUAAACGAGAGGUAAAAGAGCAAGUCGAUAUUCGAAGGUAAUAUGAAUUAUUAAACUGGUAAUAUGUCUUGCAAAUUUCUGCAGGAUUAUGUGGUUUCCCAGCGAGUUUUGAUAACAGUGCAUUCCUUUGUAAUGCAGGGUUAAAAAUAGAUGUGUGUAAACAUCCAUGAUAGCAGUGUAGCAGACGAUUUCUGUAUACAUACAAAGCGGCGAGUUGUUGAUGUAGUCUGUUACACUAUAUACAUAAUAUGUAGUAUAAACACGUGGAAGUGGCUAUUACUCAUGAUACCUGCUUACAAACAGAGGGUUUAAGCAACUUUAUCAGACUUUAUCUCGCUGAAAAGCAUUUUCUUAUAAAAUGAAGUAAUUAUAUUUCCAUUUCACAUAUAUUUAACAAGUCGGCAAAGUUAAAUUUUCUUGAAAACGGAUCAUGUAAUUAAGUGCGCAUGUGGGAGUUAACUAAGUAGGUUCGUUUUUCAAUAUACCGCCGUUCUUGAAGUAUGUUUGUUUUCACUCCUGUUGGCUUAUGUAUAUGGUUUGUAAAUAUAGAAUAAUAUUGCUAAUAAAACAAUCGAAUGUUUGAAUAAAUAUAAAGCAAGUUGUCAUUUGUAGAAGGAUGAUUGUUUUCAGUUCAUAAUCUGUUGUUAGCCCAAUUGGUAAUGUCUGAUUGUAUCAGCCCGUAUUGGCUUAGAAAAAAGGGUGCCAUCAUUAUCUAUUGUAGUGGAUGGUAUUUGGAUUUUGAAUUUAUGAUUACUGCUUAAUGCUGAACUGUUUUUAGCCCAUUUGGCUAUGUGUGGUCGUUUCUAAUAACUGAAAAAGAAAGUUAAGAAAGUUGCUAUUAUAUUCAUUGUGUUGGAUGGUAACUUGAUUUUUGAAUUAAGUUUAAUGUAUAUUGACUGUUUUUCGCCCAUUUGGCUAUGUUUGAUCAUUUAAAAAAAAAAAAAAAAAAAAAAUGGUUGCCGAUUAUAUCCCUUGUGUUGGAUGGUAAGCUGAUUUUGAAUUUAUGAUUAAUGUAUAUUGAUGAACUGUGUUUAGCCCAUUUGGCUAUGUUCGAUCAUUUCAAAAAAUAAAUGGAUAAAUAAAUAAAUAAUAGGUUGCCAAUUAUAUCCAUUGUGUUGGAUGGUAACCAGAUUUUGAAUUUAUGAUUAUUGUACAUUGAUGAUCUGUGUUUAGGCCCAUUUUGCUAUGUUCGAUCAUUUCAAAAAAAAAAAAAAAAAAUAGGUUGCCAAUUAUCUCCAUUGUGUUGGAUAGUAACCAGAUUUUGAAUUUAUGAUUGUUGUAACCAGAUUUUGAAUUUAUGAUUGUUGUACAUUGAUGAACUGUGUCAGCCCAUUUGGCUGUGUUCGAUCUUUCAAAAAAAAAAAAAAAAAGAUAGGUUGCCGAUUGUAUCCAUUGUGUUGGAUAGUAACCAGAUUUUGAAUUUAUGAUUAUUGUACAUUGAUGAACUGUGUUUAGCCCAUUUGGCUAUGUUCGGUGAUUUAAAAAAAAAAAAAAAAAAAAAAAAAAAAAAAAAAAAAAAGAAAAAACAACAACAGGUUGCCCAUUAUAUCCAUUGUGUUGGAUGGUAACCAGAUUUUGAAUUUAUUAUUAUUGUACAUUCAUGAACUGUGUCAGCCCAUUUGGCUAUGUUCGAUCUUUCAAAAAAAAAAAAAAAAAAAAAAAAAAAAAAAAAAAAAAAAAAAAAAAAAGGAAAAAGGUUGCCGAUUAUAUCCAUUGUGUUGGAUGGUAACCAGCAGAUUUUGAAUUUAUGAUUAUUGUACAUUGAUGGACUGUGUUUCGCCCAUUUUGGCUAUGUUUAAUCAUUUCAAAAACAAAAUAAUAGGUUGCCGAUUAUAUCCAUUGUGUUGGAUGGUAACCGGAAUUUGAAUUUAUAAUUAAUGUAUAUUGAUGAAUUGUGUUUAGCCAAUUUGGCUAUGUUCGAUCAUUAAAAAAAAAAAAAAUAUUUGGUUGCCCAUUAUAUCCAUUGUGUUGGAUGGUAACUAGAUUUUGAAUUUAUGAUUAUUGUACAUUGAUGAACUGUGUUUAACCCAUUUGGCUAUGUUCGAUCAUUUAAAAAAAAAAUAAAUAAAUAAAAAAAAAAAAAAAAAUAAAAAAGAAGAAAAUAAAAUUAAUAGGUUACCGAUUAUAUCCAUUGUGCUGGAUAGUAACCUGAUUUUGAAUUUAUGAUUAAUGUAUAUUGAUGAACUAAGUUUCGCCCAUUUGGCUAUGUUCGUUCAUUAAAAAAAAAAAAAAAUGAUAAUAAAAAAAAAAAUAAAAAAAUUAUGAUGUCGAUUAUAUCAUUGUGUUAGAUGGUAACCGGAUUUUGAAUUUAUGAUUAAUGUAUAUUGAUGAACUGUGUUUCGCCCAUUUUGGCUAUGUUUGAUUACUUAAAAGAAAAAAAUGUUGCUGAAUAUAUCCAUUGUGUUGGAUGGUAUCCAGAUUUUGAAUUUAUGAUGAAUGUAUAUUGAUGAACUGUGUUUCGCCCAUUUGGCUAUGAUUGUUCAUUUAAAAAAAUAAAAUAAAAUAAAACAGGAUGCCGAUUUCAUCCAUUAUGUUGGAUGGUCACCGGAUUUUGAAUUUAUAAUUAAUGUAUAUUGAUGAACUGUGUUUGCCCAUUUGGCUGUGUUCUAUCAUAAAACAGAGUUGCUCAUUAUAUUCAUUGUGUUGGAUGGUAAUUAGAUAUUGAAUUCAUGCCUGAUGGAUAUUGAUGAACUUAUUUUAGCCCAUUUGUUAAAUGAUGGACCAUUUCAGCCUUAUUGAUUGAUUGCCUGCUAUAGAUAUUGUGUAUGCUGGUGACAUAAUUUCGAAUUGAUGUGCUGCCAAAUUGCAAGUUUGUCAUAUUUUCCUGUCUAUCGGAAAGUUUGUUUCGGGCUAGUGACAAUUAACAUAUUUUAUGCAACUUUAUGUCAAAUUGUCAUGUUAAUAAUUUAAUAUUUCUAGAUAAUGUCACGAUCAACACAUCAAAAACCCAAGGAGUUCCGCAACACAGUCCUAGUGAUACAGCCACACCGCAACGUUUCAGCCCCGCAACUGAUGAAUCUGAACCCGCAGCAACUUGGGGUUGUGGUGAGCCUUAAUUAUUGUUACAGAACACCAUUGUCCCGUGUUUGCGCCGUGACGGAGCAUUUUGGCUGAUGAUUCGCUGCACUGUCAGACAGCGUUGAACAAAAUGGUACAUCUUAUGUGUUCAAGUCCAGCCUACCCCUUCCUUGCCUUCAGUCGUUACAGCUUCAUAUGGAAUAUUGGCAGUGUCAUGUCACUUGUUGAUUUAUGGACACAACAGUGUUUGUUUCCAGAACUGUGAAAUGUGUAUGUGGCAUAUAUAAACGUUUAAAGUAGUCACUUAUUCUGUAUGUCUGUUUUUAUAUACCUGAUCUCCGUUGAAUUCUGAUCCCAGGUUCGGCGGUUAGGUCAGCCUCCACCAGUAUAUCUUAACGUUGUGUAAUAAGAAGUUUGUUUGUUUCAAGUAUACUGUAUAAGGACUCUGUUCCCAGGGCCUCGACAUCUGCAUUUCAACCAUAUACUUUAUAUCAUAUGUAUUUGUAUAUUGACAUUUAUGUGAAGCUGUGACCAAUUUCUGCCAAACAUUAAUCAAAACCAAAUUAGUUAUUAAUUGCUAUAGUAAAAUUGUUAAUAGUAAAAGUAAUGUAUUCAUACAA